rnacentral:tRNA from 1 species
UGCGGAUUAGAGCAGUGGUAGCUCGCUUGCCUCAUAAGCAAGAGGUCGAGGGUUCAAAUCCCCCAUCCGCAA